rfam:Pteropus alecto contig71513, whole genome shotgun sequence.
GGUUCCAUAGCGUAAUGGUUAGCACGUCUGCUUUAAAUGCAGAUGGUCCUGAGUUUGUGCCACAGUGGAGCCA